rnacentral:rRNA from 1 species
GGAGGANCACCAGUGGCGAAAGCGGCUCUCUGNUCUGUCACUGACGCUGAGGCUNGAAAGCGUGGGUAGCGAACAGGAUUAGAUACCCUGGUAGUNCACGCCGUAAACGAUGAGUGCUAGGUGUUAGGCCCUUUCCGGGGCUUAGUGCCGGAGCUAACGCAAUAAGCACUCCGCCUGGGGAGUACGACCGCAAGGUUGAAACUCAAAGGAAUUGACGGGGGCCCGCACAAGCGGUGGAGCAUGUGGUUUAAUUCGAAGCAACGCGAAGANCCUUACCAGGUCUUGACAUCCCGAUGCUAUCCUUAGAGAUAGGAAGUUACUUCGGUACAUCGGAGACAGGUGGUGCAUGGUUGUCGUCAGCUCGUGUCGUGAGAUGUUGGGUUAAGUCCCGCAACGAGCGCAACCCUUAUUGUUAGUUGCCAUCAUUAAGUUGGGCACUCUAGCGAGACUGCCGGUAAUAAACCGGAGGAAGGUGGGGAUGACGUCAAAUCAUCAUGCCCCUUAUGACCUGGGCUACACACGUGCUACAAUGGUCGGUACAACGAGUUGCGAGCCGGUGACGGCAAGCUAAUCUCUGAAAGCCGAUCUCAGUUCGGAUUGGAGGCUGCAACUCGCCUCCAUGAAGUCGGAAUCGCUAGUAAUCGCGGAUCAGCACGCCGCGGUGAAUACGUUCCCGGGCCUUGUACACACCGCCCGUCACACCACGA